GACGAACGCUGGCGGCGUGCUUAACACAUGCAAGUCGAACGGUGAACCUCUUCGGAGGGCAUCAGUGGCGCACGGGUGAGUAACACGUGGGCAACCUGCCCCCGGCUCUGGGAUAACUCCAAGAAAUUGGGGCUAAUACCGGAUGUUCACCGCUUCCCGCAUGGGUGGUGGUGGAAAGGGUUUCCGGCUGGGGAUGGGCCCGCGGCCUAUCAGCUUGUUGGUGGGGUAGUGGCCUACCAAGGCGACGACGGGUAGCCGGCCUGAGAGGGUGACCGGCCACACUGGGACUGAGACACGGCCCAGACUCCUACGGGAGGCAGCAGUGGGGAAUAUUGCGCAAUGGGCGGAAGCCUGACGCAGCGACGCCGCGUGGGGGAUGACGGCCUUCGGGUUGUAAACCUCUUUCAGCAGGGACGAAGCGCAAGUGACGGUACCUGCAGAAGAAGCACCGGCCAACUACGUG
rnacentral:rRNA from 1 species